rnacentral:rRNA from 1 species
UAUGGCUUAACCAUAGAACUGCUUGGGAAACUGAUAAUCUAGAGUGAGGGAGAGGCAGAUGGAAUUGGUGGUGUAGGGGUAAAAUCCGUAGAGAUCACCAGGAAUACCCAUUGCGAAGGCGAUCUGCUGGAACUCAACUGACGCUAAUGCGUGAAAGCGUGGGGAGCAAACAGGAUUAGAUACCCUGGUAGUCCACGCCCUAAACGAUGUAUACUAGUUGUUGCUAAGCUAGUCUUGGCAGUAAUGCACCUAACGGAUUAAGUAUACCGCCUGGGGAGUACGGUCGCAAGAUUAAAACUCAAAGGAAUAGACGGGGACCCGCACAAGCGGUGGAGCAUGUGGUUUAAUUCGAAGAUACGCGAAGAACCUUACCCGGACUUGAUAUCUAACAAAUCAUCUAGAGAUAGAAGAGUGUCUGCUUGCAGAAAUGUUAAGACAGGUGCUGCACGGCUGUCGUCAGCUCGUGUCGUGAGAUGUUGGGUUAAGUCCCGCAACGAGCGCAACCCACGUCAUUAGUUGC